rnacentral:rRNA from 1 species
GACGAACGCUGGCGGCGUGCUUAACACAUGCAAGUCGAGCGGUAAGGCCCUUUCGGGGUACACGAGCGGCGAACGGGUGAGUAACACGUGGGUGACCUGCCUCUAGCUCUGGGAUAAGCCUGGGAAGCUGGGUCUAAUACCGGAUAUGACCUCGCGGUGCAUGUUGCGGGGUGGAAAGCCUUGUGCGGCUAGGGAUGGGCCCGCGGCCUAUCAGCUUGUUGGUGGGGUGANGGCCUACCAAGGCGACGACGGGUAGCCGGCCUGAGAGGGAGACCGGCCACACUGGGACUGAGACACGGCCCAGACUCCUACGGGAGGCAGCAGUGGGGAAUCUUGCGCAAUGGGCGAAAGCCUGACGCAGCGACGCCGCGUGAGGGAUGACGGCCUGG